AGGCCGGGUUUGGGACAGCAGAAGAUGGCAACUAGUUUUAUUCUAAAUCAGAACCUAAACACAGGACAGACUGUGUGGCCUCUUCAGCGGGAGCCCUGUGACUUGUUGCCAGCAGCACAAGCUCAUACAUCACUCAGGAGCUCAGAUCUCACCUCUCCUGGGGAACCACCAUCUGAUUGGGGAAAACAUGACAGUGUGUGUGACACCGGCUGCAGCUCAUGCUGAGUGAGGUUUUGAGAUAAGUGUCCUCCUCCAUCUGGAAUUCACAGGUGCCACCAGGCAGCUUGAAAACACACAUUAAAUAAAAUACUAGUUAUUGAUAACUCUCAGGUUUUAUUCCAAAAAAAUUGUAGGCUCUUGCACAUCUCAAACAAUUAAUUAAGUAGCCACGGAGUGACUAAUCUAAAGAAAAUGUCACACAAACUCUUUUUUUUCCAUUUAUUUCAGUGCUAUGGCCUGAAGCUCAGGUAUAGCUUCAGUUGCCACGAUAUCUGAACAAUGUCCUCAGGUCUCAUUCAAGGUCCCUCUGUCAUUUUUUGGACAAUCACUAAAACUUUGGAUGUUUCCUCUGCCUAUAAGACAAGGAUAAUGCUCAAUGUCCUCAGUGGAGCACUGCACUCUGGAGUCACUUUGGAGCUGCAGAAAGGCUCAGUAAAAGCGUAAGGGCACUGCUGGCUGGGGA